GGGGAAUAUUCCAGUAUAUUCUUUCAUCGCAGUCUACUGACCCUAAUACACCUGCGUAAUUUCACAUUGCAAGCCCUUCGUUCAUCCUCUGACUGGGGCCUCAGCUGGUCGGAGGCUUGGAUCCUCCGCCCAGUUGCGGAUCCUCCGACGCUUUGGUGUCGGAGGUUCCUCAGCCCGGCUGGGCCGGAGGUUGCUCGACCCGGCCACCCCGGGAGCUCCUCCUUGGCCUGGUCCAG
rnacentral:lncRNA from 1 species